rnacentral:rRNA from 1 species
AGUGAACGCUGGCGGUAGGCCUAACACAUGCAAGUCGAACGGCAGCACAGUAAGAGCUUGCUCUUACGGGUGGCGAGUGGCGGACGGGUGAGGAAUACAUCGGAAUCUACUUUUUCGUGGGGGAUAACGAAGGGAAACUUACGCUAAUACCGCAUACGACCUACGGGUGAAAGCAGGGGAUCUUCGGACCUUGCGCGAUUGAAUGAGCCGAUGUCGGAUUAGCUAGUUGGCGGGGUAAAGGCCCACCAAGGCGACGAUCCGUAGCUGGUCUGGGAGGCUGGUCAGCCACACUGGAACUGAGCCACGGUCCAGACUCCUACGGGAGGCAGCAGUGGGGAAUAUUGGACAAUGGGCGCAAGCCUGAUCCAGCCAUACCGCGUGGGUGAAGAAGGCCUUCGGGUUGUAAAGCCCUUUUGUUGGUAAAGAAAAGCAGCAGGUUAAUACCCCGCUGUUCUGACGGUACCCAAAGAAUAAGCACCGGCUAACUUCGUG